CCGAGUUUACAACUCCCAAACCCAAUGUGAACCAUACCAAACUGUUGCCUCGGCGGGGUCACGCCCCGGGUGCGUCGCAGCCCCGGAACCAGGCGCCCGCCGGAGGGACCAACCAAACUCUUUUCUGUAGUCCCCUCGCGGACGUUAUUUCUUACAGCUCUGAGCAAAAAUUCAAAAUGAAUCAAAACUUUCAACAACGGAUCUCUUGGUUCUGGCAUCGAUGAAGAACGCAGCGAAAUGCGAUAAGUAAUGUGAAUUGCAGAAUUCAGUGAAUCAUCGAAUCUUUGAACGCACAUUGCGCCCGCCAGUAUUCUGGCGGGCAUGCCUGUCCGAGCGUCAUUUCAACCCUCGAACCCCUCCGGGGGGUCGGCGUUGGGGACCUCGGGAGCCCCUAAGACGGGAUCCCGGCCCCGAAAUACAGUGGCGGUCUCGCCGCAGCCUCUCCUGCGCAGUAGUUUGCACAACUCGCACCGGGAGCGCGGCGCGUCCACGUCCGUAAAACACCCAACUUUCUGAAAUGUUGACCUCGGAUCAGGUAGGAAUACCCGCUGAACUUAAGCAUAUAAA
rnacentral:rRNA from 1 species